CACGACUGAAGCGAUGUAGCAGCAGCAGCAGCAGCAGCAAGAAUACUGAAACAGUCACUGAAAAACAAUCAGAGUUCAAAUCUGUGCUCAAACGUUCAGAUGAGGUGAAACACUGAAGGGUUCUGCCUUAACCAACACUUCAGUUGAGAGAGGGUCGGGUGAGGUUGCAGAAAUCCUGCCGCAGAAGGUGUGUCGGGAAGAUAAGGCUGAGUCUGAAUACGUCAUCUGAUUUCCUUAUACACCCAAGUGACUCGUAACCUUUUCCUCUUUAGUCACAUGCUCAGCUCCACACCAACGACUUCACUUCUAAUUCUUCCUCUGGAAGAGAGCAUCUCAUCUCAGCAAAUCAUUUUGUACUUGGCUGCAUCCAAAACAGCCACCUGUGGUUCCUGGUGUUCCUUGCAACUGCUGGCUCUUUGUCAUCUGCUCAUCUUGACAGCACCAGCUCAUGUUGGGUAAGUCUGAUGGGAAGCCUAAGGGAUAAGGAACUGGAGCUCUGAGCCUACAGCCUACCGGGAGCUGAAUUCUUUCCCACAGCAUCGUGUUGAGCUUGGCAGCAGACCCGCCCCUAGUGAGCCUCCAGACACCCGUAGCCCAGACUGACAGCUUGACUGAAGCCUUAUGAGAAUCCGUGAGCUGGAGGACCAGCUCAGCCAUCUCCACGUUCCACACAGACUGACCUUGAAGGCUCGAUGGACAUUCCUAUGUUCUCAACUGCAAUUCCGGUCUUUCCACCAGAGCAGUUUUAUUUCCUGACUACA